CCACCCGUGGUCGGUGGCUGGCGCGGCCCCUGGUGGCGGCUGGGGCGGUCGGUGGUGGUGGCUGCGGACGGCCGGUGGUGGCGGCUGCGGGCGGG
rnacentral:tRNA from 1 species